AAUGUCACGGACAAAAUGUUUUCCGCUGACUUCUCCUUGACAGUGGCCCAAAUCUGCUAGCGAAACGGGUUGAAAAUGGGUUGAAUCGGGUUGUCAAGGAGACCCAAACCCAACCCGCUAUGGAGAGAUGAAGGGUUUUGUAACUUCUCCCAUCAAUGAUGAAAACUCAAGGGUUAUGAAACUCUCAUGAGUUAUGGGGUGACUUUUGGGCUUAUGGCUCAUUACGAGGGUGAGUUAAUGUGUCUCAUAAUUAGAGAGUUAGUGUGUGUCUAGGUUCAUUGUAUUUAGGAGCUUAUAAGUAGUGGGGUUUUGGUUAAGGUCAAAACACACAAGAGAGAGUGUGUAUAUGAGUUGUAAUUCUUAUUUUCUAAGUAGUGUAGUACUUAGCUUUUUGAGAGAACCUCUGCCUUUUUCUCUUUGUCAUUUCCCUUUGCAUGCUUAGUCAUAGGACGCGAAGGUCCGGGCUAGCAAUAGGGACGAAGGCUUGCCCAUCUUCGAGCAGAAAGGCGGGCGCCGCACGGACUUUGCGAACAGAACCGCUAAGGCCGUGAC
rnacentral:lncRNA from 1 species